rnacentral:misc_RNA from 1 species
UCCGGCUUGACGCCGGCAGUCCCCCGAGAGUCCUCAGCUCUACCUGUUAGCAACACGGGGCAAGGGUUGCGCUCGUUGCGGGACUUAACCCAACAUCUCACGACACGAGCUGACGACAGCCAUGCACCACCUGUACACCUCGGACGAACCCGAUGCAUCUCUGCAUCUGAACGGUGUAUGUCAAGCCCAGGUAAGGUUCUUCGCGUUGCUUCGAAUUAAGCCACAUGCUCCGCCGCUUGUGCGGGCCCCCGUCAAUUCCUUUGAGUUUCAGCCUUGCGGCCGUACUCCCCAGGCGGGGUGCUUAACGCGUUAGCUGCGACACUGAAGGGGUCGAUCCCCCCAGCACCUAGCACCCAUCGUUUACAGCAUGGACUAC